GGUUGACCUCGGAUCAGGUAGGGAUACCCGCUGAACUUAAGCAUAUCAAUAAGCGGAGGAAAAGAAACCAACAGGGAUUGCCUUAGUAACGGCGAGUGAAGCGGCAACAGCUCAAAUUUGAAAGCUGGCCCUUUCAGGGUCCGCAUUGUAAUUUGUAGAGGAUGAUUCGGCGAGGGCUCCCGCCUAAGUCCCCUGGAACGGGGCGUCAUAGAGGGUGAGAAUCCCGUAUGCGGUGGGCUGCCUUAGCCAUGUGAAUCUCCUUCGACGAGUCGAGUUGUUUGGGAAUGCAGCUCUAAAUGGGAGGUAAAUUUCUUCUAAAGCUAAAUACCGGCCAGAGACCGAUAGCGCACAAGUAGAGUGAUCGAAAGAUGAAAAGCACUUUGGAAAGAGAGUUAAAAAGUACGUGAAAUUGUUGAAAGGGAAGCGCUUGCAACCAGACUUGUCCGCAGUUGCUCAGCCGGUCUCCUGACCGGCGUACUCUUCUGCGGCCAGGCCAGCAUCAGUUCGGGCGGUCGGAUAAAGACCUCGGGAAUGUAGCUCCUCUCGGGGAGUGUUAUAGCCCGGGGUGGAAUGCGGCCAGCCUGGACUGAGGAUCUCGCUUCGGCAAGGAUGCUGGCGUAAUGGUUGUAAGCGGCCCGUCUUGAAACACGGACCAAGGAGUCUAACAUCUAUGCGAGUGUUUGGGUGUCAAACCCAUACGCGUAAUGAAAGUGAACGGAGGUGGGAACCCGCAAGGGUGCACCAUCGGCCGAUCCUGAUGUCUUCGGAUGGAUUUGAGCAAGAGCAUAGCUGUUGGGACCCGAAAGAUGGUGAACUAUGCCUGAAUAGGGUGAAGCCAGAGGAAACUCUGGUGGAGGCUCGCAGCGGUUCUGACGUGCAAAUCGAUCGUCAAAUUUGGGUAUAGGGGCGAAAGACUAAUCGAACCAUCUAGUAGCUGGUUCCUGCCGAAG
rnacentral:rRNA from 1 species